AACUUACAAUUGUUACAAGAUAUCACAUUAUUUUUACAUCCAAUUACAUUAUUUUUACAUGCAAUUGCCCAUUAUACAGUUGGGUUUUUACUGGAGCAAUCUAGGUAAAGUACCUUGCUCAAGAGUACAGCAACAGUGUCCCCAACCGGGGAUUGAACCCACGACCCUACAGUCAAGAGUCCAGAGCCCUAACCACUACUCCACACUGCUGCCCUAGCCACACAAGUGUUUAAAUAAACACUCCCUUUAGUUAAAAUGCCUAGCCAGGUAACUUCUUAAUUAUUGUAUCUAUUUAAUUAAGGAUUCCCCUUUAAGAAGGCUGAACUCCCAUGAGCCUUUGUUCUUUUUUAAACAGGUAGAGGGUGGAAGGGAGGCAGGUUUUGUGUUCUGGGUUCCUCCAUUUUGUGUAUGGCGGUGUGGUUUGUGUGCAGGUUCUGAAUGGGUUCCAGUUGGCUUUCAGGAUUUUAUUUACAAGGAAAUUAUAUUCAAGAAGAACUAUACCUACCUUGGAGCAUCUCUUGGACAACUUGUUGCUGUUGGACUGCCACUGGAACUACAGAAUAAGCAUCAACAAACAAACAAACAAACAGUCGGGUCUGUGAGGAUGAGAAGGUCUCCACAGUCUGGAGUCUGGUCUCUGACAGGCUCAACAUACCUGUCAAUCAACAGGGACUCCUCUGCAAAGGCAAGGCGCUGGCAGGUAGGCUGAACAGCACAGCACAGCACAGCACAGCUCACCCCUCCUCUCACCCCUCGCCUCAUCCCUCCUCUCACUCCUCGCCUCACCCCGGGUCAGUGUGGCACAGCCUGCCUGCUCUUCUGAACAAACACUUCAGCCCUGCCGACGCAGUGAGAGUCUGGAGCAGCAACACAAGGUAACCUGAACACAAACACACACACACACACAGACACACACAAACACACACACAGUGAGAGGCUGGAGCAGCUACACAAGGUAAAUUGAACACAAUAAACACGGCUACACACACAAUCCUAGCUGCAGCAGAUGUACAAUGUUAUACAGACACACACAGACACAGCUGUACAGUGACACAGAGACGCACACACAAUCACAGCUGCAGCAUACACACUCUGAAAUGCAGGUGUAGAGCAGCGUGUAGUUGUGACUCUGUGUCUCUCUCCUCCCCCUCUCCUCUCCUCUCCUUACUUUGUUUAAAAGAAUAGAAGCACACCCAGUGAGCAAGGCAUUGAGCAGCCCCACAUCCCGCUUCACAAUACCGCUACAUAUUGACUGACUGUUCGCAUUGUGUGUGUUUGGUAAGACAAACCACAUUUUCUACUUCUACUUUCUACGAUUGGGCAAGUCAGCGGUUGUUUGAUAACAGAACAUAAAACAUUACAGAGCGGGUUGAACUGCAUUGCUGCAAAUCAAGGCCCUUUAAAAUGUGUACCUUCCCAGCUCAGGUAUUGCUGAGGUAAAGAGACACUUCCUACAGGAGGACAGGACGUUGUCAAGGAGGGGAUGUCGUCACGUGUCCUGAGGGCUUUCUUAAAAACAUUGUUUUAUUAUUUCUAAGCGUACGUUGUUAUUGCCUUUUAGCUCUUGAGCAUAAUAAUCUCAAUCCCGUUUGAAAUUUGCAUGGUGGCAGAUGAGGGAUGUCACUUCACUCGAGGCGUGCGUACUGAUGAAGAUGUAGUUUCAGUGUUUAAUGCUCAUCCCCUCAGUGUGUCUGUGUGUGUCUGUGUGUGUGUGUGUGUGUGUGUUUGUGUGUUCUUGUCUCGCCUGUCCUGUGAGGAUGAAGAUGUAGUUUCAGUGUUUAAUGCUCAUCCCCUCACUGUGUGUCUGUGUGUUCUUGUCUCUUGACAGGUCUGUGAGGAUGAGAAGGUCUCCACAGUCUGGAGUCUGAUCUCUGACAGCCUCAACAUACCUGUCAAUCAACAGGGACUCCUCUACAAAGGCAAGGCGCUGGCAGGUAGGCUGAACAGCACAGCACAGCACAGCACAGCACAGCUCACCCCUCCUCUCACCCCUCGCCUCAUCCCUCCUCUCACUCCUCGCCUCACCCCGGGUCAGUGUGGCACAGCCUGCCUGCUCUUCUAAACAAACACUUCAGCCCUGCCGACGCAGUGAGAGUCUGGAGCAGCAACACGAGGUGAUGAAGUGACACUUUGAAUAUGGGGCCUGAUGAGAGAAGUAUCCUUUUCAUGUGGUUUUGGUUUUGCUGUUGUGAGCAGGUAUGGGAGACAGCACCGUGUCUGCAUGUGAAAUAACAAAGUCAUCGCAGUGGAGGGACUCUCUUAAGGCUGCUGUUUGUGGAUUUGUCUUGUAAUGUGAGUGAUCUACUGUACUGUGAUGCCACUGGCUGUACGCACGCUGCACUGCAGGGGAGAGACCGCUGGCAUUCACAGGGCAUGCUUGUUCAUUUAAAGCACGCUGCACUGUAGGGGAGACACCGCUGGCAUUCACAGGGCAUGCUUGUUCAUUUAAAGCAUGCUGCUGUGGGAUGUUUGCACAGUGAUCUUGUAUCUUAUUUUCAGGUGAAGUUUUGAAUGCAUCAAGUUGGAAGACUUGGCUUAAGAUAAUGAACUCCACUUUUCAUAAUGUAAAUAGUUUAGUUUGCAUGAUUUGAUAAUACAGGUGGAUUUAAUUAGACAACAAAACCACCCAUUACUCCAUAAACAAUGACUUGAACAUUCAUUAUCCUGUCUGACCAUGUUUCAGGAGACCUCUAGUGGUCAAGAUGCACCAUGUGAGGGAAUAAUGCUAUUUUUAUUCUCAAACCUCCCUUGAAUUACUUUACCACAACAUCUGCACACACACA